rnacentral:lncRNA from 1 species
UGAUGAUAAGACGGCUCAAGUGGAGGAUUUCCUACAGUUCCUGUAUGGUGCGAUGGCGCAGGAUGUCAUAUGGCAGAAUGCCAGCGAGGAGCAGCUGCAGGAUGCCCAGCUGGCCAUCGAGCGGAGCGUGAUGAAUCGGAUCUUCAAGCUUGCUUUCUACCCUAACCAGGAUGGGGACAUACUGCGUGACCAGUGAGUACUUCUGUCUGCUGGACUACAAAGCCAUCUUGGAUGCCUUUGGUGCAGUAGCAAAGAGAACGUACCCAUUAGCGUUUGCACUCACAGAGUUAAGCCCUCAGAAUGGAUGCUGAGGUGACCGUGAGGGGUACACACAGUGGGAGAGGCUGGUGUGAGUGGGCAGCCUUUCUGCAAGGCUCUGCUGUGCGCCUGCCUCACAUGCCUUCGAUGUCUUCUCUGGGGUGAGUCCUUGACAACUGUCUUUCCUAGGCAGCCAUUGCCUUUUUAGCUCACAGUGCUCGGGUUACCCACUUGUUCCAUGGCUGCCAUUUGCCAUUGUUCAAGUCAUGACCUCUU